GGACAGAUUUAUAUUGGGUUCAUAGUGGCGUCAUGCAUGCAGACUCCUGCGAGUUCCCCUAAGUUCUUAGAGGACUGCGUUGCAAAAAGCAAAAAACUGCUUUUUUUUUGAUCUGAGAGUUGCAAGGUUCCAUAAAGAAUGGCCCCUUGUGGAUAAGCACAAAGUCAAGAGACAGCGAUUGGACAGAAUUGGUGAAGGUAUCCGCCCCCAGAUCAUGAAGGACCCCCUGCACCCCCGCCCCCUGGUGGCGCUGCUGGAUGGCCGCGACUGCACUGUGGAGAUGCCCAUCCUGAAGCAUGUGCAGUCCACGCAGGAAAUCCACGAGAAGGUUCUAAAUGAAGCGGUGGAUGUCAUGAUGUACCACACCAUCACCCUCACCAGGGAGGACCUGGGAAAGUUCAAGGCUCUGAGAGUGAUCCUGCGGAUAGGCAGUGGCUAUGACAACGUGGACAUCAAGGCUGCCGGCGAGCUCGGAAUUGCUGUGUGUAACAACCCGUCUGCAGCCGUGGAAGAGACAGCGGACUUUACCAUCUGCUGUAUCCUCAAUCUGUACCGGAGGAACAUGUGGCUGUACCAGGCACUGCAGGAAGGCAUGCGGGUUCAGAGCAUGGAGCAGAUCCACCAGGUGGCCUCAGGAGCGGCCCGCAUCCGUGGGGAGACGCUGGGCCUCUUCGGCUUUGGUUGCACUGGGCAGGUGGUUGCAGUUCGAGCCAAGGCCUUUGGAUUCAGCGUCAUAUUUUGUGACCUCUACUUGCAGGAUGGGAUCCAGCAGCCCCUGGGCGUGCAAAGGGUCUAUACCCUACAGGAUUUGCUGUAUCAGAGUGACUGGGUCUCCUUGCAUUGCAAUCUCAACGAACAUAACCACCACCUCAUCAAUGACUUUACCAUAAAGCAGAUGAGGCAGGGAGCAUUCCUUGUGAAUGCAGCCCAUGGUGACCUGGUGGAUGAGAAAGCCUUAGCACAAACCCUCAAGGAGGGCAGGAUACGAAGGGCAGCCCUCUACGUGCAUGAGUCGGAGCCCUUUAGCUUUGCUCAGGGUCCGUUGAAAGAUGCACCGAAUCCCCUCUGCACUCCUCACACUGCCUGGUACAGCGAGCAGGCGUCACUGGAGAUGAGGGAGGCAGCUGCCACAGAGAUCCACUGAGCCGUCACAGGUCACAUCCCAAAAAGCUUAAGAAACUGAACAAGGAAUUCUUUGUCACAUCAGCACCUUGGUCAGUAAUAGACCAGCAAGCAAUUCAUCCUGAACUCGAUGGUGCCACAUACAGAUAUCCGCCAGGCAUCGUGGGCAUGGCUUCAGGAGGAUUUCCUGCAGCCAUGGAAGGGAUCAUCCCUGGAGGCAUCCCAGUGACUCACAACCUCCCGACAGUGGCACAUCCUUCCCAAGCGCCCUCUCCCAACCAGCCCACAAAACACGGGGACAAUCGAGAGCACCCCAACGAGCAAUAGCAGAGAAUGCCAGAAGGUAAUUAUUCAGAUACACUUGGGACCAAGAGACAGUGAAAAACGAUGAACUAAGAGAGAAAGAAUCUUAUGGUCUUUGUAACUGAUUUUGGACAUACGCAUCAUUGAUGUUGCAGUGUUAAAACUAUAAGAGCUAGAAAACUGAAGAUGCUGUCUGCUUACAGAAGCGCUAAAAGACUAGGAUGUGAUUUAUUAACGACCAACUUCUGUUAUUGUGUGUUAAGUUUUUCAUCUGUGCAUCAAAUCACAAAGAAUAAAUAGAGCUUUUUCCUUUAUCAGUCCCUUAGGCACAGCAGGUCCUGAACACUCUGUUCUACAAUGUUGCAUCAAGAGUUCAAACAACAAAAUAAAAAAUAUUAAGAGGAAAUCCCCAUUCUGUGACGAGUCCCUUAAGUCUACAGGGGCUGGUGACCUCUUUUUGCUAACAGGAAAAUCACAUUACUACAAAAUGGGGAAAAAACUGUUUGCCUGUAAUAGACACCUGCACGCAUAGGAUUGAAGACAGUACAGGCUCCUGUACAGAGAAGCGUCUCUCACAUCUGAACUGCAUACUGAGUGGGCAGGUUGGUUGUAACUUCAGUAAAACCCUCUGAUGAUGCAAAAAAGAAAAAAAGUAUUAAGGUUCACAAGCUGUUUGUACUCAAAUAUAUUUUCUCAGUUUCAGAUCCUCUGCUAUUUUAUUGAGUGGAAAGUCUUGAGCUAAAAGGGUUCAAGAAGAAUAAUGUUGCAUUUCCUUAUGUCUCAGGAAACACUUUUCUGGUAACUUGUCAGAUUGUCUAUGAACAAACCCACUUUUUUAGACAUUGAUAAAGUCUUCUUUUCUUCAUGUGAUAUUUUAUACAACAACACUUCAGAUGUAUUAGAUGUGACUGAUUUUAACAAAUCCUAUCAGAUUUGUAUCAAAAUAGUUACAUGCUCUAUUCAUAGUCUUUUGUGACUCAUUGCCUUUUUGUUUAAAAAGAUGGCCUACUUUGAGCUUUGUAUAGGUGCAUUCCUGUUUUUGUGACAAAGGAAAACUUUAAAAUUGUCCCAAACAGAAAAAUAAUGGCUAUCAGAACUAUGUUUUGUUUUAGUGUGAGUUACCAUUACUGUAUUUGUUUAUUGUAAAGGUGGACAUUUAGUGUUCAGUACAGUUUUCAAUAAAAAGUAAUUAAAAUUUGUUAAGUACCGAAAUUCAGGUACAUCUCACUAAUGUGAAAGCUCUCUACUUGAGAUGUUUAAGGCAACUGCAUUGUCAAUUAGUCAAUUUCCAACUCUUGUUACUGAUAGGGUUCUAUCUGCCUAUUCCAUAACCAGACUCAAGAACGCUGACAAUUACCUCAUGUGAUACAAAGUUUAAUUGAAAAAUCAAAACUUCACACAAGUCCAUCAUUAUCAAGUCAUGCCAUCCUUAAGAUGUAAUGGUGGGUUAGAGCUAAAUCAAUUCAGAAAAAAAAAAAAAAAAAAAAAGUUGCUCAACUUGUAGAGUUCUGGUUUUAAUUUACCCCAAAGCAAAAUGACCUGGACCUGGUUCAAGGGAGGGAAGUGAACCUUGAAACUGUUUUGCCAAUAACCUAACAAAAUGAUAUUUACCAAGAAGUGUUGCAAAAUGGUCCCAUGAGUUAAGAACUUGAAGUUGAUUUAAUGGAUCUUCUUUUUAAAUAGAAUUAAACCUUUAUACAAAAAAAAAAAAAAAAAAA